UACGUAGGGCGCAAGCGUUGUCCGGAAUUAUUGGGCGUAAAGAGCUCGUAGGCGGCCUGUUGCGUCCGCUGUGAAAUCCCGGGGCUCAACCCCGGGCCUGCAGUGGAUACGGGCUGGCUAGAGGCAGGCAGGGGAGAACGGAAUUCCUGGUGUAGCGGUGGAAUGCGCAGAUAUCAGGAGGAACACCGGUGGCGAAGGCGGGUCUCUGGGCAGUAACUGACGCUGAGGAGCGAAAGCGUGGGGAGCGAACAGG
rnacentral:rRNA from 1 species